rnacentral:misc_RNA from 1 species
CGCACAUUGCGCCCUUCGGCUAUUCCGUAGGGCAUGCCUGUUCGAGCGUCAUUAAAACCUCAAGCAAUGCUUGGUGCUGGGCUGCCUGUCCGCCUAUAAUUAGACUGACUCGCCCUAAAUUAAUUGGCAACUAGAUUUUGAAAUUUAAGCGCAGUAGAACUAGCGGUUUAAAUUUGAAAUGCUAGAUAUCCAGCAGAAUACUAUUAAUCUUGACCUCGGAUCAGGUAGGGAUACCCGCUGAACUUAA